rnacentral:rRNA from 1 species
CUACGGGGGGCACCAGUGGGGAAUAUUGGACAAUGGGGGAAACCCUGAUCCAGCAAUGCCGCGUGUGUGAAGAAGGCCUGCGGGUUGUAAAGCACUUUCGGUUGGGAAGACUGCUUCUAGCACUAAUAUUGUUGGAAGUUGACGUUACCUUCAGAAGAAGCACCGGCUAACUCCGUGCCAGCAGCCGCGGUAAUACGGAGGGUGCAAGUGUGUAAUCGGAAUUACUGGGCGUAAAGCGCGCGUAGGCGGCUAGAUCAGUCGGGUGUGAAAGCCCCGGGCUUAACCUGGGAACUGCAUCCGAUACUGUCUAGCUUGAGUACAGGAGAGGAGAGUGGAAUUCCACAUGUAGCGGUGAAAUGCGUAGAUAUGUGGAGGAACACCAAUGGCGAAGGCAGCUCUCUGGCCUGAUACUGACGCUGAGGUGCGAAAGCGUGGGGAGCAAACAGGAUUAGAUACCCUCGUAGUC